UAGAAACUUGUUAUUUACUGAAAGCUUCUUAUCUAUCCACAAAAGAAAGUUUAAACACUUUUAAAGAAUGAAAAAUCCAACUCACAACACACCAAGAGAGGAAAGACGCUGGAGGUUUGGCAUCCUAUUCCAAGACAUAAUUAAAAUAGGGAAAUCCACCUGAAGGUGUGAAAACUGACUGAAUUAGGAAAUACUGGCAAUAAAUUCAA
rnacentral:lncRNA from 1 species